GACCUGCGGAGGUCAUUACCGAGUGCGGGCCCUCUGGGUCCAACCUCCCAUCCGUGUCUAUCUGUACCCUGUUGCUUCGGCGUGGCCACAGCCCGCCGGAGACUAACAUUUGAACGCUGUCUGAAGUUUGCAGUCUGAGUUUUUAGUUAAACAAUCGUUAAAACUUUCAACAACGGAUCUCUUGGUUCCGGCAUCGAUGAAGAACGCAGCGAAAUGCGAUAAUUAAUGUGAAUUGCAGAAUUCAGUGAAUCAUCGAGUCUUUGAACGCACAUUGCGCCCCCUGGUAUUCCGGGGGGCAUGCCUGUCCGAGCGUCAUUGCUGCCCUCAAGCACGGCUUGUGUGUUGGGCUUUCGUCCCUGGCAACGGGGACGGGCCCAAAAGGCAGUGGCGGCACCAUGUCUGGUCCUCGAGCGUAUGGGGCUUUGUCACCCGCUCCCGUAGGUCCAGCUGGCAGCUAGCCUCGCAACCAAUCUUUUUAACCAGGUUGACCUCGGAUCAGGUAGGGAUACCCGCUGAACUUAAGCAUAUCAAUAAGCGGAGGA
rnacentral:rRNA from 1 species